rnacentral:lncRNA from 1 species
ACCCGGGCGGCGAGGCGGCGGGCGCUCUGUGGCGGCGGGCUGUGGCGGGGGAUGCUCCAACGGACACGAUGGCCCCCGCCAUGCAGCCGGCCGAGAUACAGUUCGCUCAGCGGCUGGCGUCCCACGAGAAGGGCAUCCGGGACCGGGCGGUGAAGAAGCUGCGCCAGUACAUCAGCGUGAAGACGCAGAAGGAGACAGGAGGUUUCAGCCAAGAAGAACUUCUAAAAAUCUGGAAAGGGCUGUUCUAUUGCAUGUGGGUGCAGAAUGAACCACUUCUGCAGGAGGAGCUAGCGAACACUAUUUCCCAACUCAUCCAUGUUGUUAACAACUCAGAGGCUCAGCACUUGUUCAUCCAGACCUUCUGGCAGACCGUGAAUCGCGAGUGGCCGGGCAUCGAAAGGCUCCGUCUGGACAAAUACCACAUGCUGAUUCGUCUGGUCCUCAGGCAGUCCUUCGAAGUUCUGAAGCGAAACGGCUGGGAAGAAAGCCGCAUCAAGCUUUUCCUCGACGUCCUGAUGAAGGAGGUCCUGCAUCCUGAGAGUCGGUCUCCAAAUGGAGUGAAAUUUCUCUUCAUCGACAUUUACCUGGACGAGCUGUCCAAAGUGGGCGGGAAGGAGCUUUUGGCAGAUCAAAAUCUCAAGUUUAUUGAUCCGUUCUGCAAGAUUGCUGCCAAGACUAGGGACCAGACUUUGGUACAGACUAUAGCUAGGGGUGUUUUUGAAGCCAUUGUAGAUCAGUCUCCUUUUGCACCUGAAGAGACAGCCAAGGAGCAGAAAGCACAAGUGGGUGGCGGCGGCCUCUCAGAGGAAGAGGCGUCUGCAAACGAGAUGGCCUGGAGAAAAGCAGCCAGGAAAAAGAAAGCAGCACUAGGCAAAUGUCACCCCGGAAAAGAGGAGGGCAGCCAGGAAGGUGGACAGGAUGGCAGCGGAAGUGUGGAGGACACCGGGCCACUUCUCCAGUUUGACUACAAGGCGGUUGCUGACCGACUCCUGGAAAUGACCAACAGGAAAAACGUCCCUCCCUUCAACAGGAAACGUCUCUCCGAGCUCAUCAAGAAAUUCCAAGAUCUCUCUGAAGGCAGUCUCUCUCACCUCAGUUUUGCUGAGGAUACCACUGCUGACGAAGAUGACCAGACCCGCAGUCAAGGAACACAUAGGAAGAAAGGGAAUAAACUUCUGGAGAAGACAGACAUGGCAGAAGGGAAAGGAACCACGUUUUCCCCUGCCAAGGAAGAGAGCAAAGGUGGCAUUCCAAAGAAAAAGAGGAGGAAGAAGAAGAAGAAGCAACUCCAGGCUGAAUGCACAGGGCCCAGUGGGGAAGCCACGCGCCCAGUACAGAAUGGGAGCCAGGAGCCAGAGGCCAGUCCCAAAAGAGCCCCAGAGGAGAGUGGGGCUGAGCUGGGAAUUUUGGCCAUGCCCGGCACCCUGGAGCAGAGCAGCUCGGAGCUGCCCUCCUCACACAACAAAAGGAAACGGCCCAGGAAGAGGAGCCCAAGGAUCCAGGUGGAGGGCCUGGAGUCAACAGCAUCAUCUCUGGAGGGGGUGGCCCCUCAGGCGGCCCCAGCCAGUGGUGCCCCUGUCCUGAAGAAGAGGCGGGAGCUGGGAGCCCUGCUGGUCAACGGCAGUGGCCUGCCUGUGCUGGCCUGGCCCCCACCCCAGAGGGAAGGGCCCCCUGCCAACCCAGCAGACAGAAGGGACUGCCCCACCUCCCUGCCCCCAGGUGGGAAACUGAAGAAAAAGAGUGGAGGGCCCAGCGGCCUUGACCUUUAUGACUCGUGCGCUCAGAAAGCUGCCAUUUUGAAAAAGAGGAAGAAAAUGAAGGAGAUGUCAAACUCAGUGGAGCCCAGAGGAAUGAAGCUCAUCCCGGCCCUGGGCAGUGGUGGGGUGCGUGGCCCUUUGAAGAAGAAGCUGAGGACGGAGAAGGACUUCGUACAGUUCGACGCUGUGUCCUCCCCGAAGCCCCUGUUCUUCAGGAAGGCCAAGGGCAGCACUGCUGCCUCGCCGGGCCCCACCCUGCAGCCACACAGAGCCCCGUCCAGCUCCAAGAAGGUGACCUUUGGGUUGAACAGGAACAUGACAGCAGAGUUCAAGAAGACCGACAAGAGCAUCUUGGUCAGUCCCGCGGGCCCCUCCCGAGUGGCCUUCAACCCUGAGCAGCGGCCCCUCCAUGGGGUGCUGAAGACCCCCACCAGCUCGCCGGCCAGCACCCCUCUGGGCCCCAAGAAGCCGCUGACCGCCACACCAAAGAGAAGGCCAACGGCUGUGGACUUCUUCUAAGAUAGUCAGAGUUCUUUUAAAGACUGUUUUGUACAGAAUGUUCUAUAAAUUAUAACGUUUAAAAGGCA